rnacentral:rRNA from 1 species
GACGAACGCUGGCGGCGUGCUUAACACAUGCAAGUCGAACGGUGAAGCGCCUUCCUUUUUGGUGGGUGUGGAUGAGUGGCGAACGGGUUAGUAACACGUGAGUAACCUGCCCCCUUCUUCUGGAUAACCGCAUGAAAGUGUGGCUAAUACGGGAUAUUCUGGGUCUGUCGCAUGAUUGGUCUGGGACAGAUAUUGUUUCGGUGGUGGAUGGGCUCGCGGCCUAUCAGCUUGUUGGUGGGGUGAUGGCCUACCAAGGCGGUGAGGGGUAGCCGGCCUGAGAGGGUGGACGGCAAUAGAAGGAAGGAAAGACGGAGAAGACUACGAGGGGAGGCAGCAGGGAGGAAUAUGGAACAAUGGGAAGAAGGAUGAAGCAGCGCCGCGGCGGGGAGGAUGGAGGCCUGCGGGUUGAGAACCUCUUUCGGGAGUGAAGAAGGGCUGCCUCAUUUGUGGGUGGGUUGACGGUAGCUAGAUAAGAAGCGCCGGCUAACUACGUG